CUGGUUGCACCAGGGAUUGCUGGUGGCAGGAGAUACUUCCCCUAAAAGAGGUUUGGAAGAGGAGGCAGAGCCCAGGGCACAGGAAUGAUAAAUCCCCCCCAGGCUUCAGCUUAAAUCCUUGACUCGUUAAUGAGAAAUGCAACUGGCACUACUUAACUGCACCGCUCCUCUUUAUUAGCAGCCCCAGCCUCCUGCAAGCAGAGAGGAGGAAUAAACAAAAGCACUGCUCACAGCUACGCCCGACUGACCUUGGGAAGUCAACCUGACCUCAGCUUGUCUGUCUAAUGAGUCAACGACAUAAUUAUGGCUCAGGAAGAGGCUGGAACCGCGCUGUGCUGGGAGGUCCACUGGGACAUGGACUGACUUUGUGCCCAAGGAUCGUCAUUUAAGGACAAAUCCACCUCUCCACCUAAAACCCAUGCAUCUGGGCUCCUUCUGCAGCUUAAGGGAAGAUGCUCGCUGCAGUGGAUUUUUGCUGUACGUGGAGAGGGGUCACAACCUCUGGGGAAGGUGCUCCUGCCUCUUGCUGUCCCUAGAGGAAGCCCAGAGGACUGCCUAGGAUUUAAGGCUUGAAGAAAAGGCACAUCCAGCUAAGCCUUUCCAUACAGCAGCCUCAGACGGAAAAUCUCUUAAGAACAGAUCUCUUCGCGUCCCACAGCCCCUGCUCUCCGCCUCGCCCCGCUGUAUUCUGAGGCACUGGGGUCAACGCACAGAAAUCCUGCUGCAGGGAGAGGCAAAACAACCGAAAUACAGACUGAAGCAGCAAGGAGGUUUCCUUGUGCCUUUGUUUCCUUGUGUCUUUGUUCUUGCUGAUGGAAGGACUCCGGAAUUUGCCCACAAUACGAUUUAUUUGCCUUCUUAAGAAGACACGCUUUUUUCCUCCUCCCUUAAUCUCUCCUUCCCUGAGAUAACAUUGACACCAAUAUCCAUAAAGGGAAAUAUUAAAACAACCCCUUCCAUUACAUCCUAAUUUAACUACUUCCCCGUGUUGCAUGGCACACCUGGUUGUCUUUGUCUGUUUGUAAUGUGCUCCUUCAUUCCUUUCUUGAGAGCCCCUCCAUUCCAUCAAAUUCCUCCUCCUUGCACACUAAGCUGCAGAUUACUUUUUCAUAAGAUGCAAUUUCACCUAGAUCUCAUUACUUACUCUCUUAAUGUAUUUUCUGUAUUUGUUUCAUCUACAAUUUCUCUUCUGCUCUGUUCUGCUGAUAAAACAGGCAGUUGAGGUGCUGUGGAAAGCAACUUGCUGGAGUGCAUUAACUAAAAUUCUCCGUGUUCCUGAUUCGGUGUGCGUUCUCUGGGCCUCCAGCCUGCCAGACAGAAUUAGAGCUACGAUCUGCACGGCGCAGAAAGGACCCUGGAAUGCAGCCCACUUGAUUUAUUAGCAUCUAUCUGAUAGUGGCAUUUAAGCUAACUGGGAACCAGGAGCAAGAGGAAGGUGGGCAGGGAGAUUCACUGGGAAUGCUGGAUUUUCAAGCCAGCCUCAAGAUGCUGAAGUUCCAUGAGGAUGCUGUAAUGCUCCAUGAGAGGUAGACUGUGGAUGCCCUCUCCUGUGAUGUACUGUGAUAUCCCCUGACCCUCGGUAGCUGGGAUUUGCAUAGAAAUGGUAACUGCAAUGCAGCAUGGAAGGUGGGAGUCUACUUGGAGCCACUGGCCCAAAAAGGACACGAGGAACGAGCUGCCUCCAGACUGCAGAUCUUGUCUGGCAUCGUGUCAGCCUACCUAGGUGGAAACCGCUCCAUUUUGCCUGAAUUACAGCUGUUGUGGGCUGGCCAUCUCCCGCUUUUCAAGUGUUUUGGGAUAAAACUGAAGGCAACUUUUCUGGGAAGAGAUGACAAAGUUAAGGAAAAUUGCUAUUAUCUGAGAAAAGAAGUCACCAGAGAUUCAGAGGAGCCAUCCUCAUCACUCUGACACUGCACUGGCCAGAGUUACAGCUGUGGACCACGUCUGCCAUGCAGCUCCCAUACCAAAGCAGAGAUACCCAUCUCUAUUACAUCGGUGCUGCUGAAGGACCCGCUUUCCUUCUGGACUGCAUUUUUACAGAGAUCGAGGACUAAAUACUCAGCCUGGGGGCCUGCCCUUGGGACAACGCUGCUGGCCUUCACCUUGACCAUCACCAAGUUAAUCAAACAUCUUCCGGAUGCAUUUGGAUUUUUUAAACCUUGUUGGGCUCGUUUGGAGUCGCUGUCAAGCUCCUGUGCCCAGAGCACAUUUAAGCCCAGUGCUGGUUUGCCCCCUUCCCUUCGCCCCCAGCUGCAGGCAGGCAGGGCACGGCGCCUCCGUGGUGAGAUGUCUGCCAGGGGAACGCCAAGAACAGGCUGUUCUCAGAAAAGAGGUAUUUGCCGUAAGAGGCUUAAAGUGCAAGUUUGGGGUCUGGCCUGAACUCAAGCCAAAAAAAAAAAAAAAAAAAAAAGCCACACCAAAACCCCCUGUAAUUACAGGCAAUAUUUUCACUCCGCGGAAGAUUAACAGGCCAGGAGGAGAAUUUAAGUCUCCUUCUUUCCUGAAUUCCAAUUUAAUAGCAAAUAAUCCUGCCCCCGAAUGCAAAGGAAAUAUAUUACCCUGGAGAAUUGUGGUGAAGUUCAAAGGAGGUCAGACAACAAAAAGGUCAAAAAUUAAGCAGACGGCAUUUUGUGAUGGGGUAUAGAAAAUAAAAAGUGAUCUGUUCUUCCUUUUCUGUACCUACACUCCUCCCCUACCACCAAAUUCUGUACAUAUCCCCCCUCUUGUUUAUUCUGCAGCUAAAAUAAGAGUCUGAAGUCGCUAACACUCCCUGUUCUUCAGUGAUGUUCAGGCAAGCACACCACUUUUAAUGUGUCUGGAGGGAGGAAUUUAUUAAAGAGGCACUGCAUUAAAAAUAUGCAAAUGUUCCCGGUAACUACACGGGCCCAUGAGGAAGCCAGAUGAAAUGUCAUCCCUCCCUUCUCCCCUCCCUGUUUUUAUGCACUAAGAUGGUUUAUGGCUCCUCCUGUUUUACACUGUAACUGGGAGCAUGGCAGAUAUUUAAUCUGUUUGAAAAUAAUUGCAGCAAUAAUGAUUAUUUUAUUGGGUUUAACUACGUUCUAAAAAAAGGCGAUGCUGCAGCAAUGACUCGCCCAGGAAGGAAGAAGGAGAAAUGAUGCUCAGAGUGUGUGUGCGUGGUUUUAUAGCCACCAACGUGCAUCUGGGCAGGCUUCGGGAUGCCCGUGUGGAUGCUGUGAUCAUGGGGCCACCAGGCAAUGCGGAUGGGCCCGGACUGUACCUACCCCACAGCUGAGGAAGGCUGCCUUAAAAAUAAGGUUCCUUCUAAGGCCAGAAGUCCUGCAAAGCAGGAGCCACUCUCUGCUUCGGUUCAGUCCU